GGGCUGGCUGCGGCUCCGAGGUGUCAGCCUAAAGGUGACCUCUUCUAUCCCACAGCACUCCAUUUAUUUCCAUCAUAACAGCUCAGUGAUAGUGCAAGACAAUAAAUGCUCGUGCUCAGCUAUGAGGAAUCCCAAGUAU